GCCGCCAGCCCCAACUCCCCGGCGACCCGCCUCCCCCCGCCACCCACCUCCGGCGACGCGCCAAACCCAACGCCUCCCACCUCCGGCGACGAGCCACGCCCACCACGUCCCACCUCCCGCGGCGCGCCGCGCCCACCACUCCCACCUCCGGCCACGCGCCGCGCCCACCACCUCCCACCUCCGGCAACGCGCCGCGCCCACCACCUCCCAACUCCGGCGACGCGCCACGACCACCACACCAUGCCUCCUCCCUCGUGCCACCCGCCGCCCCUAAACUCCGCCUCCUCUCUCGCGCCACCCCACUGCCCCCCCUUAGCGUGGCCGCCCCUCCACGGAGCCAAGCUCGCGUGCCGCCCCCCUCCCACCGCGCCGAGCUCGCAAGCCACCGCCGCCGGCGACCCCAACCGGCCGCCCCUCGUCAGUUCGUGUGUUCCAUCCGCACCAAAAUCGCCGUCCACCGCUUCCCGGGGAUCCCUGUGCGCCGCCGCCCACCAGAACGAUGCUUCCAGCAUUCGUGUUCUCCAAAAGUCAACACGACAUAGCUGCUUCCUCCGGCAACACCUCCUACCGGCGCCGGCGGUCAGAUCCCCAAAGCUCCCCUUCCCUCUCGAUCUCACUUCCCUGCUGCUGGAAAUUUAGUGGUUCAACUUCCUCUAAAAUUUCUGAGGUUACCUUGUUAGUAGUUCACCUUUGCUAAAUUCUGUAGUCCACCAUUGCUAAAAAUCAUCUUAUGAUUUUUGGACAAUGUUUUGUGCGAUUCAUUUGUUCAUCUUCAGAACUUGGAGAUAUUAAGUCUACUUUUUUCUAUGAUGAAGGUACAAAUGAGCUCCAUCUUCAAUGGUUAUCCCCCUAGUGCUUCAAAGAUGCCUAUUUUGUUUUCCCCAUGGCGCAGCGAGGAUGAUAGUGUUGACACUUACAAAAUUGUUUUCUGUGUUGCUAUGUUGUCAGUCCAAAGUGUGGUGAAGAUGCAGCCCUGGGUGUGUAGAUGAUGCGGUGUGUGUCUGGUUGUGUGUGUGUGCAUGAUGAUUGGUAGCUGUUGUGUGUGUGCAGUGUACGUCUGAUGAUAGCGAGUAGGCGGCAAGUGUACUAGUGAGCAGCUACUGAACUGAUUCUAACACUGCAACAUUAAUCCACUCUGCCUCCUCCGAUGAGUUCUUCAGUCCAAGUUCUCCCACGAUUCCGUCUCUGGUUUUGUUUCCCUUAACAUUGGUAAGAUAAAAGAUCAUUCAACUUCAAAUCUGUUUGGACUGAUAGUUCAACUUCUUUCGUACAAAAGGUUCAAAAAGUUUUGUACCUGAAAAUGCACAUAUUUGGAGUGCGUGAAUAUAUUUAGACUUCUACAAACCCCAAAACUAUGCAGAGUUAGGAUUGUUACUACCUUGUUUCUUACUAUCGAUUCAUUUUUUAUGAGAAGGUAUUAAGUUGGUACAUGUAGUUGGACAUCUCAAUAUACUGUAAUGUGUUUUUUUGCAUAGUACCUUGAAAUUAUGUUAGCAAUUCUGAAUUACGAUUGUGCUUGAAACUGAAAAUGAUUCUGUAACUUCUCAAACCUCGUGGACUUGAUGCUUAAAAUACUUCCAGAACGAAUUGAUUCUUGUUCUUUCAUGAUCAGUUCAGCAAAUAAUUUUUUAGUUCAUUCCAAUUUCAAAUUCUCAUUUUAGUUUAGUCAAAGUUUCUUAUUUUUGUUCAGUACAGUAUCCAAGUUUAUUUAAGUUCAAUUCUUAUUUUAGUUUUAGUUCAUUUCAAUUCUUAUUUUAGUAAAUCUGUAGUCUAUGGAUUUUAUUUGGCCUAGAUUGCUAGAUGUACUAACUUGUUGUGCCAAGGCAAUCUAAAACAUUAAGUGUUGCUACUAUAAUUCGUUCAUUGUUUCACGCCUCCCCGCAGACGCGCGCCCCCACCUCCCUGCCGACGCCUACAAAUUAGAGUUCACUAAAAAAUGUGCUUGAAAUUUCAAUUUUUACGAACCAAAUAAUUUCUUAUUUACAGAUCUAAAUCGUGCGACUUCUCCAACUAGCUUAUGUUGUUUCUGACAUUGCUCUAAACCAUUUCUCAGUAAUAUUUUGUACGUAGCAAUGGACUUGGAAGGAUUUCAGUCCAUCACGCUAGUUGUCAAAAAGGUGUUGUUUGCUUUUGAAUGUAUAUGAUGACUUGAUUACCUAGGAAUUUAAACAUGGUAACUGUUUGCAGAAUAAUAUUUUGUAUAUAGGUACUGUCAUUUCUACGAACAGCCAGUUCCAUUAUACCUGUUGUUCGCCAUCGACGGUGCUGCCAUUUGAGUUUAUGGCUCUGUCCAUGGAGGCUUCCUAGAAGUUUCUCUGUUUCCAUGUAUGGUGUUCCAUGACAGAGGCCGUGACACGUGAUGUUCCUUGGUUAGGAUUGGUUUACUUUGGAUCUCAUAGUAGGAGGACAGGCACGACGUGCAUUCAGUCUCAGAACCUGAAACUAACCUGACUGAGGCAUAAGGAAGGAAGGGCCACCGUCCGAGGCGACGCGUACAUAUGUACACCCGGGAUUUAGGACAAGACACAACACCCGCUGCGGCGUACGUAGUACACUGAGGACUCCCUCGUCACUGGCAAAGACAAGAAAACUAGCAGCGUCCUUAGCCAGGUCUGAUACAUAUAGAGUCUUAUAUUAUUUGAUUUGAUCAUAGUACAUGUAGCCUCUGCCUAUGUAGUAUGUAACGAACGAGAUGACAAGCAUCAACAUGUAGUAUAUGUGAGUGAGAGGAACACAACUACUUCAGUAUGGCUAGCCUAAGUGGUGUGAACUGAAAACCAAUCCUCAACACAUCUGGUUCUUUCUUUUGUGAGAGAUGAUUUCCUCCCGAUUUCUGGAACUCACAACCAUGGUUAUAAUAUAGUGUUUGGUCAUCCUUAGCAGGUAGGUGUAAACAACAUAGACGCUUACAACCAAAGCUAGCCGACGGCGCAUAAGCUACCUGCAAAAGAGAAGCCCUUCUUACAUCCACAACAUCCUAAUUUUUAUUCAGUUCAAUUUCCAAUUUUAGUUCAGUUGAUUCUUAUUUUUAGUUUAGUCAGUUUCUUAUUUUAUUUUCCUUUAAUUUCUAAUUCUUUUUCAGUUCAGUUUCUAAUUUUACUAAAGUUCAAUUUCUAAUUCCAAACAAUUUGUACAAAUUCCCAUCGAGCAGGUGUUCACGGUGAGCGGCUACUGAACUUGUACGGCUGCUGCUUUUGGACUGCCCAGGAAGCACAUCAUUAUAGAAGGCAAAAUCUGUAACCUAUAUAAUUCAUGUUUGUUCUGACCUCUUGUUCCUCUAAAGCAGCCAAAUACCGGUGCACCUAGUAGUUCAAAAUUACACCAGAUGGCCGGUGACCCCCUCUACUAGCUCCUCGGGGAUGUCUUGGUAGUAGCUAGGAUCCCCUACAACAGCCAAAUCCUGGUGCACCCAGCCACCGCUCGUGAUCCCCUCUUCUUCAGCUCCAAUUCGCUGUGCCGCCAGUCUGCAGGAGUAGGGACGUUGUGCCCAUCAACAAAAAGGAAACAAAAGGUCAUCGAAGCAGCGGCCGCCAGCUCUCCCGUGUGAAGCAACAACUGAUGUUGUUCUCUUUCUCAUACAUGCGCGUGUGCAGCAGCAAGCAUGACUCACUCACUAUAUCAUUUGCGCAUGGGACAUCUCUCGAUGUGAUUUGGUUGGACGGGAAGGGAGAUGCAACAGGGACAGUACAGGUUGGCUGAUGAAGAACCUGCUUUUGUCUUGCUCUAUAAUGGUCUCUGAUCCAAUGUAUUUAAUUUCUCUAUGGUGUAGCUUGCUAUAAAAGAUGAAAUAUAAGAAGUCAUUGUGCAAAAACUUGUUGGAUCCGUGUAAGGUGAACGAGAAAGUAUACUGAAAGAGUCUGAUUUUUUUUUGUUGAGCUAAAUGUGGUUGGUGCUCGCCGACGUUGCUAAAUCCCUCUACAAACUAGUGCUUGGCUGCUCCCAGCGGUAAAUGUGGUCAGGUUCAGCAGCUAGCUCUUCCUCAAGCAACCAUUUGGAGAACUUUAUUGUGUUC